rnacentral:rRNA from 1 species
AAUGAACGUUGGCGGCGUGGAUUAGGCAUGCGAGUCGCGCGAGAAUGUAGCAAUACAGGAAAGCGGCGAAAGGGAGAGGAAUAGGUGGGAAUCUGCCCCUGGAUCGGGGAUAGCUACGGGAAACUGUAGGUAAUACCCGAUAACGUCUUUGGACCAAAGGUGUGAUUCCGUCCGGGGAUGAGCCCACCUCCUAUUAGCUUGUUGGCGGUGUAAUAGACCACCAAGGCAUUGAUGGGUAGCUGGUGUGAGAGCACGACCAGCCUCACUGGCACUGAGACACUGGCCAGACACCUACGGGUGGCUGCAGUCGAGAAUCUUCGGCAAUGGACGAAAGUCUGACCGAGCGACGCCGCGUGUGGGAUGAAGGCCUUCGGGUUGUAAACCGCUGUCGUAGGGGAUCAAAUGUAUCGGGGUUCUCCCCGGUAUUCGAGAGAUCCUAGGAGGAAGGAGAGGCUAAGCUCGUGC